AGAGAAUAGAUACCCUGGUAGUCCACGCCGUAAACUAUGGAUGCUAGCUGUUAUGAGUAUCGACCCUCGUAGUAGCGUAGCUAACGCGUUAAGCAUCCCGCCUGUGGAGUACGGUCGCAAGACUAAAACAUAAAGGAAUUGACGGGGACCCGCACAAGCGGUGGAGCGUGUUGUUUAAUUCGAUGGUAAGCGAAGAACCUUACCCAGGCUUGACAUCCUGCCAAGGUCUCCGAAAGGAGAUUGUGCCUUCGGGCCGCAGUGACAGGUGAUGCAUGGCCGUCGUCAGCUCGUGUCGUGAGAUGUUUGGUUAAGUCCAUCAACGAGCGCAACCCUUAUAGUUAGUUGUAUUUCUCUAGCUAGACUGCCCUGGUAACAGGGA
rnacentral:rRNA from 1 species